AGUGUCCCCCCUGCCCUUGUCCCAUAGUGUCUCCCCCUCCCCUUGUCCCAUAGUGUCCCCCCUCCCCUUGUCCCAUAGUGUCCCCCUCCCCUUGUCCCAUAGUGUCUCCUCCCCUCCCCUUGUCCCAUAGUGUCUCCUCCCCUCCCCUUGUCCCAUAGUGUCUCCCCUCCCUUUCUCCCAUAGUGUCCCCCUCCCCUUGUCCCAUAGUGUCUCCUCCCCUCCCCUUGUCCCAUAGUGUCUCCCCCUCCCCUUGUCC